UAGCGUUUUACCCUAGAAGCUUAGUUUUGUAAAUAGUUUGACCACAAGUAUACUUUACAAAAUAGUUUUGUAGUUAGACUCACUUUGGAAAAAAAUCCUCUCAUUUGCCCCCUUCGCCUCCUCACUUUCUCCUCCAUAUUUUUCCUUUCAUUGUUCUCCAUUUCCCAUCAUCUCCCAUCUACUACCUCUCACAAUCUUAUCAUUGUAAUUAUCAUAAUUUCUACUCCUCUCACAAUCUAAAAAAUCAAAGGCGAGGUUUCGAUUACAGAAGUUCUCGAUUUGUGGGUUUCACCAUCUCCAUUUGAGCAUGCAUUCACGGGAAAUGUUUUAAUUUUGGGUUUAAAAGUCAUUUAUAUACUCUAUUUUAAAUUCCUGGUUUAUCUAUGAGCUAAAUUUUAAUGGAGAUGAUGAUAUGAAGAUGACGAGGAUGAUAACCGAUGAUGAUGAAGAAGAUGAAACACUUGUUCGAUGUUAUUAUAGGUUUAUCUAUGAGCUAAAUUUUAUUUGAGAUGAUGAUAUGAAGAUGACGAGGAUGAUAACCGAUGAUGAUGAAGAAGAUGAAACACUCCAAUGAAACAAGUGGAUGAUGGUUUAUUUUCAAUGUUAAUUUUUUCUUUUAUAUGAUUACAGAUUAAUAUAUUAUAGUACCUAGUACUAUGAAUUGUCUAAUACAUACUAUAAAUUACGAGUAUCUAAUAUGUAAUUGUUACAAGUCUAAUGUAUUUUUCUUUGAACGAAAUUAAUUGAAAUUGCAUAUUUGUUUUUGUAAA